rnacentral:rRNA from 1 species
GGGGAAUAUUGCACAAUGGUCGCAAGCCUGAUGCAGCCAUGCCGCGUGUAUGAAGAAGGUCUUCGUGUUGUAAAGUACUUUCAGCUAGGAGGAUGGUGUUGUGGUUAAUAACCACAGCAAUUGACGUUACCCGCCGAAGAAGCACCGGCUAACUCCGUUCCAGCAGCCGCGGUAAUACGGAGGUGCAAGCGUUAAUCGGAAUUACUGGGCGUAAAGCGCACGCAGGCGGUCUGUCAAGUCGGAUGUGAAAUCCCCGGGCUCAACCUGGGAACCGCAUUCGAAACUGGCAGGCUAGAGUCUUGUAGAGGGGGGUAGAAUUCCAGGUGUAGCGGUGAAAUGCGUAGAGAUCUGGAGGAAUACCGGUGGCGAAGGCGUCCCCCUGGACAAAGACUGACGCUCAGGUGCGAAAGCGUGGGGAGCAAACA